rnacentral:rRNA from 1 species
GGGGAAUAUUGGACAAUGGGCGGAAGCCUGAUCCAGCCAUGCCGCGUGUGUGAAGAAGGCCUUUUGGUUGUAAAGCACUUUAAGCGAGGAGGAGGCUACCGAGAUUAAUACUCUUGGAUAGUGGACGUUACUCGCAGAAUAAGCACCGGCUAACUCUGUGCCAGCAGCCGCGGUAAUACAGAGGGUGCGAGCGUUAAUCGGAUUUACUGGGCGUAAAGCGUGCGUAGGCGGCUUUUUAAGUCGGAUGUGAAAUCCCUGAGCUUAACUUAGGAAUUGCAUUCGAUACUGGGAAGCUAGAGUAUGGGAGAGGAUGGUAGAAUUCCAGGUGUAGCGGUGAAAUGCGUAGAGAUCUGGAGGAAUACCGAUGGCGAAGGCAGCCAUCUGGCCUAAGACUGACGCUGAGGUACGAAAGCAUGGGGAGCAAAC